GUUGCUCCGAACCAGUUAAAGGACAUGCUGCUGUCAACCAUUCCCUACAGGGGAUUCAGAAAGCCUGGAUGCCAGAGGCAGCUGUUGUAUUUAAUUUGUGUUCCCCAAGGUCAGAUCGUCCUUGUCCCGUCUGGGCAGAAGAGGACAAAGCUCGGAAAACACUCCCUGGGAAGUUUCUAGGGGUGGUAGCCCUCUCCUCUACUCAAAGACAUGGUGAGUCAGAACCGAGUCCCGGGAGUCCUUGCAGGGGUUGGGAACUGUGAGGGAACAGCUAAUUCCAGGGCGGGUGGUGGUGCGGAGGAGGACCAGUCUCAGCCAGCUAGCCUUCUCUGCUGAUAGAAUCUCCGGAUGUGCUCUUGGCGCUAAACACCGGUUUGGCCGCCGGCGGCAGAGGCCUCAGCGCCGCACCUAACCGAGCUGCUACCAGAAGAUGUCGCCCGCAAUCGAGGUGGGCCUUCCCACAUUGAUCAGGACAGUCAGGACGUUUGGUUCUUCCACUGAGGCUCCCUACCAGACGAUUCUAAUUUGUGGCAUGUUGGCACUAAAACCAGCCGUGAUACCAGAGAGCAGUCAGGCCUGGCUGCAGGAAGUCUGCAUGCAGUGCGCAGUGAGUAGAGCCAGGGAGAGCCACCUGCACCCACGUGAGAGAGCUUUCUGUGUGUUAGGUUUGUUCCCGUGAGGCACCCAUAGCACUUGAUCAUAGAGCUGGUCCGCUGUCAGAGGUCAAUAAACACCCUCCGGGGAGCAGACCCGUGACGGGCUGUGCCCUGCCUGGCCCCCACGAACUUUCCUCUGGGUUGAAUUGGAGCUAUUGGCCUCUUUUGACCACAUAAGAAGAAAAUCUCAUUUACAGCAGAGAGUCCCCUGUUGUCUGUAGUUUUCACCCCCAUGGACUCUUAUUAUCUACUGUCAACCGUGGUCUGAAAACAUAGAGUAGAAAAAAAUCCCAGAAACAAACAUAAACGGCUCAAUUUUGUGGACUUUUUGUUUUGUUUCGAGAUAGGGUCUUAAGGAACCCAGGGUGGCCUCGAACUCCUGAUGCUCCUGCUUCCAUCUCCCAGGUGCUGUCAGGCGCCACCACGGCCAGCUACAAUUCGUAAGUUCUAAGCUGUGUUCGGUUCUGAAGAACGUGAGGAAGCCCUGUGCUGCUGCCCCUCAAUUAAGAAGAGAAUCUACACAACCCACGCCGCAGCCCCUGGGGCCACCUUCAUCGUCUUCUUGGCGAUUACACCGACUUCCGGCACCCCAGCACCUCAGUUCACACGACCCCUACGUAAGAGGAAUCUGGACGACCCAGACACAGCGCAGAGGCCGGGCAGUGCUUCCUGUUAGCCUCGUCUCACGUGGUCACGGGAAGAGGAGCGGCUGGAGUACAGUACCACACCGGACACAGAAGGAGGCCACAGUCACAUGACUUUAUCACAGUGGCGUAACCGGACGUGCACAGUGGUUAUGCAGCGCAGUUCACCGUCGCUGGUGUUCUACUCUGUUGCGAGCUGUGGGUCACCUCUUACUGUGCCCAGCAGUUAUAGGUCCGUCUGUGCGGGAGAAAGCUCAGCACACGCAUUGCUUUGUGCUCCCUUGGGGGUUACCUGUCUCCCUGGAGCCCUUACGGCAUAUGCCCCACAGAUAAGGGGUGCCCUUUAGAGUAAAUCCUCUUCCAAGACAGCGGCUUCUGAAGCAUCAAAAUCUAUGCCUGCGGGGUUCAGGUCGGAGGCUCAGGUUUAAACUCUGAGGCCCCAGACUUUCACCUUCGGACGGAGUCUCUAAAAUACUGCCGGUUUUGAUGAAGCCCAGGCUCACUGUUCAAAAUAAACAGCCGGGCUUCGCAAACCAGACUGAAAUUCAGAGCCUGCCAUAAAUAAGAACAGGCAGCCAACCAAAGAGGGAACAGUUUUAAGGCUGAAAUUUUAUUGCCCCUCCAAGAGGGACCUCAUUUGAAUAGGUGAGCUUCAGAAGUACAUGGCAGAGAAAGGCUUUUACUCAAUAAAUAAGGCAAUGUGCAAAGCAAGCACUUGGAUCAGAAUUUUUUUUCCCACUGAAGAGCAGUUGAGGCCGGUGAGUGGGGCACAUCUAUAAUCCCAGGGCUCAGGAAGCAGAGGCAGGAGGAUUUGGAACUUGAGACUAGGUUGGGAGACAUCUGAGAGCUUGACUCACAGAAACAGAACAAAACAAGAGCAGUUGUAAGCUGGUAACACAAAGAUCUCCCUCAGCCGGGCAGAGGGUGAGGAUGAUGGACAGUGGGUUCAGAAGCACAGACACCCCCACUUCCCAGUGUGACCUGGGAUGGUCCCCAGCACUGCCUCUGAGCUGCCAUCCCUGGGACUCAUCUCAGCCCAGGACACCAGGGCAGGGGUCUUCUCUGUAACUCCAGGGCCAUCCUUGUGUGACAGAGCUCAGCAGGGAGGGUCCCCAAAGGCUGGAGAGAGACAGCCAGGAGGAAAGUGACUUCGCAGUAGAUUCAGGACAGCCAAAGCUGAGGUGAGAAGCGAGGUCUCUGCCUUGUGUUAUGUGACUGUUCUUCUCACGCGACGUGAACAGGAACUGUGAGUGAGCUCCACAUGGCCUGCCUAUGUUUCUCUUCCAGAAGAACAUUCCUUGCUUCUUGUCAUCAAACUCAAUAGAAACCAAGCUCCCCAAAGCACGUGUGUCUAGAGCAAAUGACUAUCAUGUGUCCUGUGCUCACAUACAAAGGCGUGGGUGUCCAUUGGUGCUGGGUUGGGGACAGCUACCCCAGAAUCUCAGAUGGCCUGAGUUAUCAUCAUGACAUAAAACAGGAAGAAAAAGAGCAAUCGAGAUCUAAAGUUCCUGAUCCAGGCCGAAGCAAGGAGUCAGGACAUGCUGGAGAAAUCACUAGGCCAUGCAGGAGACACUGCCAGGCAACGAUUGCUAGGAACUGAGCCCUGCAGCAACCAGGAUGGAUUGGGGGCCCUGCAGGUUUCCUGGCUUCUUCUGGUGAGGUGGACUGGACUGUUCCUGAAUGACUGGGUCCAGGAAGUAGUGGGGGAGGGGGGAGAGGAUGGAGAAGUCCCCCAUGUCAUCUCUAACCCCCACACGGCCCUCUGCCUAGCUGCCCCUCCCUCCCCCACUUGUAACACCAGUUACCUAAUCUGCAACAAGACUCGAUGGUAUCUGAGUCCCUAACGGCUCUGAAAACCCACAAGUCUAUAAUUCAGAUAUAAAUGCAGCUAGUGAGAGAUAGGAAACCCCGAGCCCCGACCUGCAGCUUGGGGGAUGUGACCUGUAAUACAUACUGAGCUUGAGCAGAAGACUUGGAAGCAGCUGGUUUGUGCCGAGCAUAUAGCCAGGACUCGGCCAGGUGGUGUCUUCCACCACACUGUCAUUUUAUGCCCAAGUGACCGUUAUUAACACUG